AACAGGAUUAGAUACCCUGGUAGUCCUAGCCGUAAACGAUGGGUACUAGGUGUAGGAGGUUUCGAUACCUUCUGUGCCGCAGUUAACGCAUUAAGUACCCCGCCUGGGGAGUACGUGCGCAAGCAUGAAGCUCAAAGGAAUUGACGGGGGCCCGCACAAGCGGUGGAGCAUGUGGUUUAAUUCGAAGCAACGCGAAGAACCUUACCAGGUCUUGACAUCCCUUGACAGCCACAGAGAUGUGGUCUCUCUUCGGAGCAAGGAGACAGGUGGUGCAUGGUUGUCGUCAGCUCGUGUCGUGAGAUGUUGGGUUAAGUCCCGCAACGAGCGCAACCCUUGCCUUUAGUUGCCAGCAUUAAGUUGGGCACUCUAAAGGGACUGCCGGUGACAAAUCGGAGGAAGGUGGGGAUGACGUCAAAUCAUCAUGCCCCUUAUGACCUGGGCUACACACGUGCUACAAUGGUCUGUACAGAGGGCAGCGAAGCAGUGAUGCGGAGCGAAUCCCAGAAAGCAGAUCUCAGUUCGGAUUGCAGGCUGCAACUCGCCUGCAUGAA
rnacentral:rRNA from 1 species